UACGCGCGGGCAUCUGUCAGUUCGAACAGAGCGCGCGCUCUAUCAACGCAUGCGCACUGAUUUCCCGCCCUAUUUAAAAUUUUAAAAAUCGAACGUAAAAAUACCACCAAAUUAGUAACUCCGUUGCCUGUGGGACUGAAGAGAAAAUUGCCAUAGGAUUUUUUAUUAUCGUUGAUUACCUCGAAAUACCAAAGAUGCGCACCAUGUCACCGAACAACCCAGUUAGGCGAUGUCUAUUCCCAGUCGACGACCUCACGGAACAGGCGAAGAUCGACAACUUCGCUAACGUACUCCGAGAGAGCAUAGCAAGGGACAGAGAAGAAAAAAAGAGGAAAUUUAACUUCGAUUUCGAAAACGAAGUACCUCUAGAUGGAGUUUACGAAUGGUACCGAACCGACGGCGUCAAUGACUGGAUCGCUGUGAAGAAAGACCCUUGCACGGAUGUCAUUAAGGAGAAACCCGACGCUCUUAAGCAGUUGGAGAACGAGUCGACUCCUCGAACUAAUAAGGAUGAGAAGAUGCCGUUGCUGAGGAAGAGAAGGAAGAGUCUAGGUUUGGUUGAUGAUAAGGGUGUGAGACGGAAGAUUAGCUUCGAUUAAAGCAUCACAAAUACGCAAUACGUAACGUGAAAUUAGAUGAUUUCGUAACGAUUUUCAUUUUUAAAUUUGUGACAAUUACAUGUUUUUUUUGUAUCUUGAAUAUUCAAGAGAAUGUAUUUAGAAAAUUAGAAUCAGUCAAGCGAUUAGUCAACAUUUACAAGUAUAGGCUUCGACACAAAAUUACGGGAAAAGAAAUACAAUAGUGUUGUACGAGAAUUAUUUUAAUUUUUAUUAUGCUUUUGGUCCGUAUCAAUUGUAGUUUACAACAAAACGUAACUGAUUAAUUUAUUUGUGAAUUAUAAAACGGAUAAUUAAUAUUACUGUAAUACUUUUUAUUAUUAUUACGCUUAUAUUAUGUAAAUUGUGCCACUAUUUAGGCUGUAUUUGUAAAAAAUAAAUGUAUAAUUUAGACAUUAUUUAAGUUCUAUUUAAUUGUUGAAAACAAUGUUCGUGUUUUAUAUAUUUCCAAUAUACAGUUAGACAUCACAAAUAUGUACUGUUUCUUGUAUUUUUAUAAAGGUUUUUAAAAAUUACUAGCUACGUCAACUCCGUUCUGCUGUAUGUGGCAAAACAAAAAUAAUUUUCUUUCCAAAUACGCUACUUAUUUCAUAACGAACUUUAUAAAUUUUGAUCGCAUUUCAUAAUUAUCGCAUCCAUAAAAAUAAAACAAGCAUAACUUAUGACUCUCGUAAAUAAAACUUAUAAUUGACGUUAUGGUUGUGACUUGCAACAUCUAUUGACCUCCUUCUUGACAUUAUUAGUUUAGCCAAAUUCUUGAUAAGGGACGAACGUGAUCACCGAUUAAAAUUUUUUAUUACUAUUUUUAUUCUAGUUUAAUUUUGUAAAUACGAUUUCGAGAAACGAGUAUUUCGAGUGAAAGGAAACACGAGUUUAGUUCCCGAAUGGAUUUGUACAAAAAAUAUAGCAUAUCGUGUUACGUUGCUUAAAAUUAAUAGCAUUUGCAAAAGCGUAUACGCCUUUCGUUUUAAUUGGUCAAUCCCUAUACAAACAUGGUGUAGCCUAAAAACUGUUACAUUGACUUUUGCUUUUUGGUUAUUCGGUCAAUGAAAAAAAAUCGAGAAAUAAUGCAUUUCAAUGAUUCCUCGACUACCCUACAGUAUUUCUUCAAAAUCAACUCAUUUGUACCUGGAUAAUAUUAAAAUGUAUUUGUCGUGAAACUCGUUAGUGUUUAAUCAAAUUAAUUUAUUAUUAACGUAACUGUAAAUUAUUAGAAUCCCACUAGAAAAAAGUCUGAUUUUUGUUUUAUUAAUAAAAUGUUAAAAUUUUGUAAAUAUUUAUUUAUUUAAAAUUCGAAUUGGUAAAUUUAAUAAGAGAUAAACGUUUGAAGUUGGUAGGUACCAAGAAAAAACUUGGUAAUGCGAUAAACAUUAAUUUUAUUACGAUUUUAGAAUUCGAUCACCGUUUUUACAAGGGGCUCUACAUUCUCGCUUGCCCAUUGAGAAACUAAAAAGUGUAUUCUCACAAAUCGAAAUCAGUGUUCGAUUUCCAAGACAGACUAUCUGACAUUCCUUUUGAUUGUGAGUGAAUUAGUGCUUUCCGUGUACACCGGUAAUGUUAGACGCUCAGUCAGAUUGUAGCUUAUAGUAAAGUGAUAUAUUAUCUACUAACUACCAUAACCGUUGUAACUAUACUUGAGACUAGAACUUAUAUCUCGAAGUGUCGUAGAUGUCUAUGGGCUCCAGUAACCACUUAGCACCGGGUGGACUGUGAGGUCGUCCACUCAUCUAAGCAAUAAAUAAAAAUAAAAAAAAAUUCUAUAUUAUUGACAAAACAAAGCCAAAAACUCCUUUUUUAUACUUUCAUGUACAUUUUUAAAGGCCUUCCAGAUUAAAUGUGAUAAAGUUGCUCUUGGACAUCAACAAGAAACUUGCUUGGAGAAGGACAUGCCACAGCGGUAGAUACUAGAUAGCGGCUUGCAUUACUCGCUUCUAUGGGAGACGGUGAAUGCUUACAAUCAGUUACGCCGUUUUCUCUCGUCUGCCAUCAAUGACAAUAAAAAGAGAAACAUUAAACUUAUUGAUGGGCUUUUCUAUACAGCGAUAUGUUCUACGGAAAUUUUACGUUGGAAUUAAUAUUUGAACAAAAAUCAAAUUGUUUUAAACGACCGUCCCACUUAAACUAUAACUAUAUUAAUUAUCUGAAAAAUUCAAACUUACUAAUAAUAAUUUUUAAAUAAUAUGAAUUCUAACAAUAAUAAUAAGAUGUUGGUUUAGAAAAUACGAAUAAUGGAAAUUACAGUAACAUAUAAUAAUUUUAAUAAUAAAUAUAUUUUCUUCGUGAAACAGCUAUGUCCCAAAGUCCCGUAGGAGUUCUGUAAUUAAUUUAGUAAAUUUACACACUUGUAUUAAUUAAUAUAGACAUAUUUCAUUUAUAUUUUGUACUUAUUUACGUAUUAGACUUUGGUAUUCGAUGUGUAUAAUUUUUACGAGCUUGCCAUAAAUUUAUUUAUUUUUAACGUGUAAUUUGAGGAAUUUUUGUGAUGAUUUCAAUAAACUGAAUCAAUCUUCA